rnacentral:rRNA from 1 species
UUGCCUCAGUAACGGCGAGUGAAGCGGCAACAGCUCAAAUUUGAAAUCUGGCUCUUUCAGGGUCCGAGUUGUAAUUUGUAGAAGAUGCUUCGGGUGUGGCCCUGGUCUAAGUUCCUUGGAACAGGACGUCAUAGAGGGUGAGAAUCCCGUAUGUGACUGGGUGCCUACGCUCAUGUGAAGCUCUUUCGACGAGUCGAGUUGUUUGGGAAUGCAGCUCAAAAUGGGUGGUAAAUUUCAUCUAAAGCUAAAUAUUGGCCAGAGACCGAUAGCGCACAAGUAGAGUGAUCGAAAGAUGAAAAGCACUUUGGAAAGAGAGUUAAACAGUACGUGAAAUUGUUGAAAGGGAAGCGCUUGCAACCAGACUUGCACGCUGCUGAUCAUCCGGUGUUCUCACCGGUGCACUCGGUAGCGUUCAGGCCAGCAUCGUUUUUGGUGGUUGGAUAAAGGCCUUGGGAAUGUAGCUUCUUUCGGGGAGUGUUAUAGCCCUCGGUGCAAUGCAGCCUACCGGGAACGAGGACCGCGCUUCGGCUAGGAUGCUGGCGUAAUGGUUGUAAGCGACCCGUCUUGAAACACGGACCAAGGAGUCUAACAUCUAUGCGAGUGUUUGGGUGUCAAACCCAUACGCGUAAUGAAAGUGAACGGAGGUGAGAACCCUUAAGGGUGCAUCAUCGACCGAUCCUGAUGUCUUCGGAUGGAUUUGAGUAAGAGCAUAGCUGUUGGGACCCGAAAGAUGGUGAACUAUGCCUGAAUAGGGUGAAGCCAGAGGAAACUCUGGUGGAGGCUCGCAGCGGUUCUGACGUGCAAAUCGAUCGUCAAAUUUGGGUAUAGGGGCGAAAGACUAAUCGAACCAUCUGCCUACGGGUAGCAAUUGUGUACAGUUGCUAGGUGGUUAAGAGGCAGCUAAAAGUGCUGUCUAGUGGCAUUCGCACUGCAACACUGUCAAAUUGCGGGGACGUCCUACGAUGAAGUGUAACUACCGCAGCCAUGCCGAAAGGCCUGGUGCGCACCGGGGUAAUGACCUA